rnacentral:rRNA from 1 species
GAUGAACGCUGGCGGCGUGCCUAAUACAUGCAAGUCGAGCGAACGGACGAGAAGCUUGCUUCCCUGAUGUUAUCGGCGGACGGGUGAGUAACACGUGGAUAACCUACCUAUAAGACUGGGAUAACUUCGGGAAACCGGAGCUAAUACCGGAUAAUAUUUUGAACCGCAUGGUUCAAAAGUGAAAGACGGUCUUGCUGUCACUUAUAGAUGGAUCCGCGCUGCAUUAGCUAGUUGGUAAGGUAACGGCUUACCAAGGCAACGAUGCAUAGCCGACCUGAGAGGGUGAUCGGCCACACUGGAACUGAGACACGGUCCAGACUCCUACGGGAGGCAGCAGUAGGGAAUCUUCCGCAAUGGGCGAAAGCCUGACGGAGCAACGCCGCGUGAGUGAUGAAGGUCUUCGGAUCGUAAAACUCUGUUAUUAGGGAAGAACAUAUGUGUAAGUAACUGUGCACAUCUUGACGGUACCUAAUCAGAAAGCCACGGCUAACUACGUG